GCAAUAGGCAUAAGAAGUGCUCGUAUAAUUUUGGGAAUAAGGCCCAACAGUUUCUACCGGGUGACCGUAAAUCGCCUGACUACGAGUGAAAUAGCGUCUGUU
rnacentral:ncRNA from 1 species